AUUUGUUUGUUCUUACGAUGUUAAGGUGUUUGGUGGCUUGAUGUCAUGAAUUUUUUUCAUUUCUGUUGAAGGAAAGUAGUACAAACGACGUCUUGCACAAAUAAUCAUCAAUUUUGGCAUAAAAAGCAGAUGUUAUAUUGUUGGGCAACCAAGUCAUCCUUUAUGAAGCAAGGCACUUGAUAUGUUGUCUGGUUUCAGGUUGUGAUGAAGGUGACUUGCAGGAUGGGGAUGGAUCUUUGUGGGGUGGUUCUGAUGAGGAAUUUGAUAAAUCAUCUGAUUUGGACAGAGAAUGGCAGAAGAGGCGUGAUCAAUUCCACACUAUUGGAUACCGGGAUGGCCUUAUAGCAGGGAAAGAAGCUUCUUCACAAGAGGGAUUUAAUAUUGGCUUUAAGCAAUCUUUUUUCUCUGGAUACAAUUGGGGUCUUGUUAGAGGUGUAACCAGUGCAUUUGCUGCCCUUCCCAAUGAGUUGAAAGAGGUGUUGGUUGAAACACAAGAAAACAGAAACAAGUUUCAGGGUUUGUACGAAUCAGUGCAUUCUCUUUCUACAACUGAUGCGCUUAAAUUGUAUCAUGAUGAUUUAGUGGCAAGCAAAGCAGUGGUACAUAGUGAUAAUGCCGAGGUUAGCUCCAAUGUAGC